AUGGUAGCCCAAACUCAA
rnacentral:snRNA from 1 species